CUCAUGGAGUUUGGUGUUGCAGGAACAGUUGCUCAGGCAGGCUAGGUUCGGUUGCUACCAAAUAUCCUUGAAGUCUCAGAAUUACUGAGAACAAAGAUUUGCCUCCAUGCUCGCUGGGUCCCUGAUAAAUCGGGCAUGUCUGUCCUUGUUUCAGAAGGGAGAUGAGUUCUGAGGUGUCAAGAGGAAAUGGCCCUGUACCCAGUUUCACGUCCCGAACGGGGUCCCUGGUGCCUGGGAUGCCAUGUUGCUGAGCAGAUGGCAGUGUCAUGGGCGUGCUUCUGGUGGAGACAAGAUGGAGAUGAAACUGCACACCCCCUCAUGUUGGCAGCUUUGGAGAGUCUUGGCCAGCUCUUCCAGGGGAGGUCCUGAGAGUUGCAUCAACUCCGUUCUUCCUAGUGGGAAGAUGGGGAAAUAAAUCAACCAAGAUAUUCUUUGACCGAUCACCAUGCCAUUCAACGCUCAGAUGCCUAUGCCGGUCAAAUCUCUCCAGAAUAUCCCAGUGCUUGGAUGAUUAAGCAAAGAAACAUCAGGAUAGGAAACCUAAGAUGGAGCCAGAAACAAGGUCAUUGCUGAACUUGUAUGCUGUGAGUUCUACAAUACUUGAUGGACACGGAUAUUUGGUCCUCAGCAGCCACUACAGACUGGCAGUCAGUCGAUUUGACUACAAGUGCAACCUCCCUGAUCUCGAGUCUAUCAGAAGCUCUGAGUGUGGCCCAUCUACCCUGCAGCUUGGUUCCUGGUCAGAGGGCAAAGCUUGCCUGGAAGUGAGACUUUGAAAUGACACUUGGCUUGGUUCCCUGAAGGGUUGGGCGGUGCCAGUGAAAGAAGAUGCAUCUUUCUUCAAGUUCUUUGUUGCUUCCAGAAAGUCUGUGUUGAUUAGGAAAUGGUAAUCGAAGCUGCUCCCUUGGACCCAUUGAUGGAAGCUUCAGAUUGAGGAUGGCAGAGCUGCUCAAACUUCCUGAACUGUUGGAUGAGACAGAAAUGAACUUCUCUUUUAUUUAAGCCUCUGGAUUUUGGGUGUCUUUGUUAUACCAACUUUCCUGUAACCUAACUAAAAGAUCUAUAUGCAGGACCAAUUUGUGCCCUAAAAUAUUCUGGUUGACAUCUCCCCCCAAAGCCUAGAUCUACUCCCUGAAGACUAGAGAGAGCUGCAUGAGAGCAGAGCUCAAGACAUUGUGGUUUGCUUAAACUAUGACUCCUUGGAAAGUUAAGAAAUGGAAUUCAUUGCAGUAGCUGGGAGAACAUCACCAAGAAAUUCACCAUUAAAUGUUUUGUUGUUGCUGAUUGUGUAACUUCUGAUUUUGAUAUAAUUUCAAAAUUAUACAAAACUUACAGAUAGGUUGCAAGAGUAGUGCAGGAACAUUUGCAAACCCGCUUUUCGGAUUUACCAACUGUUGUGCCCAUUUUACUUUCUCAUUCUCCUCUAUUGCGUGUGUGUCUACUAAUAUAUUCUUUUUUUCUGAAUUA